rnacentral:SRP_RNA from 1 species
GUCGGGUGCAGUGAUGUGCACCUGUAGUCCCAGCUACUCUGGAGGCUGAGGCAGGAGGAUCACUUGAGUCCACGAGUUCUGGGCUGUAGUGCACAAUGCCAGUUGGGGUGUCUGCACUAAGUUCAGCAUCAAUAUGGUGACCACCAGGUCACCACCAGGUUGCCUAAAGAGGGGUAAACCAGCCCAGGUCAGAAACAGGGCAGGUUGAAACUCCGAUAAUGAUCAGUAGUGGAAAUAGUCCUUGCCUCCAGGCCGGGCAACAUAGAGUUACCCCAUCUCU